AAAUAUAAAUCCUCUCACGCACUCCCUCCGCCGCCGACCGCUAGCUAUCUGGCAGCCUGCACGCUGUUGACCGCCCGCCAUCUCCAGCACGUCAUCAUCGCGGUAGCAAGGUUGCUGCCCUGUCUCCUUCGUCCUCCUGCACCCCCACUACUUAGCCCCCAAACACUUCUAACCCUAUCUUGUGCGCUGGUGUUCGGGGAGAGGCCAAGGCGCGGUGGUGGACAACACCGUCCCUCUCAGAUCCGGGGCAGAGAGAGAGGUGGUUCACCUGCGAGAGAGAGCACUCGCACCCUCACUCGUCACCCAGGAGCCGCCACCACCGCCGCCACGCCAUGGGCUUCCUCAGAUCUGUGCCACCCUGUUCGUUUGAAGAAGGAUCUGGCCGUUGAUUGCUGGUGCUUCCCCUCGCCCGACGAUCUGCCAUGACUUGGGAUAGUACUUCUGUCCAGCAAGCAGCGCUUUGGCUGGGAGCUCAAGCUCAAGCAGAACGUCAAAAACAUGGGCUCUAUCUGCUAAUGGGGUAGCCGGCAAUGCAGUCUAAGGGCUGGCUACUGCUCAUCUGAUUUCUGGAUAUGAGAGGAUGAGAACUUGAGAAGAACAAGCUUGAUGCUAUGAUUGCAAAAAAAUCUGUACUACAGGUGAGAGUUAAGACACACCAUACACAGGCUCUGUAAGAUGGCGGAAAUAUUCCUCUUCGUCAACGACUUCUACGAGGACGAUAUUGACCUAGAGGCUGGAGCUUUGCUACUCCUUCCGGCCAACAACAAGGCAUCGUUUACUUUUUCUCUCCCCACAUCCAAUACUUCCCUGUUCCUGUCCCUACCGCUUAUUUCUUGCUAUAGGGCAACACACUACAAGUGUUUGAUAAACUGUUAGUCUCAAUGCUCCAAUUCUGGCAGAAGGAUUUUCGGUAGGAAGACAUAGCACCAAUCAAGGAUUUUCGGUAGGAAGACAUAGCAUCACUCAUGGUUAUAUAUAUUUACUAUUGUAUUUCUGUAUUUUUGCAAAAUUAGUUCUGUGAAGCUUCUAGAUUAUUUUAGUUCUUCAGUGGUUUUACCCUUAGGCUUAGCUUGUAUUAACUUACAACUUUUUUCUCCAUAAUUUUGCAACAAUAGUUCUAUAGUACUUAAUACAGUUUUUCUAGAAUCAUGAUAAAAUACAUAUAUAUCUAGCCGUUUGUAUUUCGACGGUCAUGUUUCUAAAGAUUUUAAAGUUUUAUUUUCACUAUAAAUUUGCUUUAGUUGUUCUGUAACUUCCAGCAUAGUUCAGUUAAGGGGUUCUAGUCUUAGGCUUGUAUAAACUUACAACAUCUUUCAUUUGCAAUGACAAUGGUUUCACAACUGUAGACAGUUCAUCUUUAUAAGGCCAUUGUAUCCAUGAAGAAAUUUGUUACUUAUUUCUGAAUACAUCUCGUACUGUUUAUCGCAUUUUAAGAUAUGGCAUGAAGCUAGCUAAGGGCUUUUAUUAUUUCUAGCAGCAUGUGAUUCACUGAACAAAAAAAGGACUGCACUCACAUAUGAAAUGCUUGCAAGUUAUAGAAAAAUGAAGCAAAGGACCAACGGUGUAGGAGAAAUCUUCUCAGUUUCUGAAUCCUGAGCAGUAGCAAGUCAGGUGCUUAAUGGUGAUCCUACCACGCAUAUGUCAUAAGCAGGAAUGACAUGCAAGAGAACCAGGAAGGAACCAUGAAGAUGGCAGUUUGCAUCAGCUAGACAUUUUGUGUAAUGGAGCAAAUACAAUGUGUCUUUUAGUUAUCGUUUUGUAAACCUAUAUGGUGUCUUGUCAACUGGGUAUUUUGUGUAAAGGAGCAAACAAUGAAUCGUCAGACAUGCAUCUAUCAUUUUGUAAACCAAUCAGGUGUCUUGGUGAUUGAAACAUAAAUGUUUCCUCCUUUCAAUUAGUUACUUUUACCUAUAAGAACAUUCUUCUUUGGUUGUGGUUUAA